rnacentral:sRNA from 1 species
ACAUAAGAGCCAGUUCAGUGUUUUGGCAGCAAAUGGAGUUUGUUGAUAGCCUGCAUGGCCAACCCAAGAUGCCAGAAUGGUUAUCUACACACCCUUCUCAUGGCAAUCGAGUUGAGCACUUGGAUAGACUUAUACCUCAGAGGAGGAAACUGAAGCACAUAAGGUCAAAUGAACAGCCUGAGGUUACCUGCUUAAUAAGAAGUCUGGCUAAGUUGUAUGCUAUUGAAGUUAAAGGGAUUUAAUGCGGGAUAUUUGUCUUCUGGGUGAAAAUCUAAAGCAAUGGCUCCCCAUAUUCUGACCACCGAUGACCACAUAUCUGAUUUUCUUACAUCAUUAACUCCACCCUUGAAAGAUUUCAUCCAAUAAAAACACUGUACUCAUUA